rnacentral:rRNA from 1 species
CGGACGGGUGAGUAACGCGUGGGAAUAUGCCCUUCUCUACGGAAUAGCCUCGGGAAACUGGGAGUAAUACCGUAUACGCCCUUUGGGGGAAAGAUUUAUCGGAGAAGGAUUAGCCCGCGUUGGAUUAGGUAGUUGGUGGGGUAAUGGCCUACCAAGCCGACGAUCCAUAGCUGGUUUGAGAGGAUGAUCAGCCACACUGGGACUGAGACACGGCCCAGACUCCUACGGGAGGCAGCAGUGGGGAAUCUUAGACAAUGGGGGCAACCCUGAUCUAGCCAUGCCGCGUGAGUGAUGAAGGCCUUAGGGUUGUAAAGCUCUUUCAGCUGGGAAGAUAAUGACGGUACCAGCAGAAGAAGCCCCGGCUAACUCCGUGCCAGCAGCCGCGGUAAUACGGAGGGGGCUAGCGUUGUUCGGAAUUACUGGGCGUAAAGCGCACGUAGGCGGACCAGAAAGUUGGAGGUGAAAUCCCAGGGCUCAACCUUGGAACUGCCUUCAAAACUA